UACGGGGGGGGCAAGCGUUGUUCGGAAUUACUGGGCGUAAAGGGCUCGUAGGCGGCCAACUAAGUCAGACGUGAAAUCCCCAGGCUCAACCUGGGAACUGCGUCUGAUACUGGAUGGCUUGAAUCCGGGAGAGGGAUGCAGAAUUCCGGGUGUAGCGGUGGAAUGCGUAGAGAUCCGGAAGAACACCGGUGGCGAAGGCGGUCUGCUGGGCAGUUGCUGACACUGAGGCGCGACAGCGUGGGGAGCAAACAGG
rnacentral:rRNA from 1 species